rnacentral:rRNA from 1 species
AGUGAACGCUGGCGGUAGGCCUAACACAUGCAAGUCGAACGGCAGCACAGGAGAGCUUGCUCUCUGGGUGGCGAGUGGCGGACGGGUGAGGAGUACAUCGGAAUCUACUCUGUCGUGGGGGAUAACGUAGGGAAACUUACGCUAAUACCGCAUACGACCUACGGGUGAAAGCAGGGGACCUUCGGGCCUUGCGCGAUUGAAUGAGCCGAUGUCGGAUUAGCUAGUUGGCGGGGUAAAGGCCCACCAAGGCGACGAUCCGUAGCUGGGCUGAGAGGAUGAUCAGCCAAACUGGAACUGAGACACGGUCCAGACUCCUACGGGAGGCAGCAGUGGGGAAUAUUGGACAAUGGGCGCAAGCCUGAUCCAGCCAUACCGCGUGGGUGAAGAAGGCCUUCGGGUUGUAAAGCCCUUUUGUUGGGAAAGAAAUCCAGCUGGCUAAUACCCGGUUGGGAUGACGGUACCCAAAGAAUAAGCACCGGCUAACUUCGUGCCAGCCGCCGCCGUAA